rnacentral:rRNA from 1 species
UUUAAAGGUCGAACAGACCUAUUACUUAAAGCUUCUGCACUCUAAAAUUUCUUUAAUUCAACAUCGAGGUCGCAAACUUUGUUAUAGAUAUGAACUCUCCAACAAAAUUACGCUGUUAUCCCUAAGGUAACUUAUUCUACUAAUCAAUAAUAAUGGAUCAAAUAUUCAUAAAUCAAUGGUUUUAUGUUAAAAAAGUUUUAUUAAUUUUCCUGUCACCCCAACAAAAUAUAAAAAUAAAUAAAUAAAAUUAUUUUACUAUAAAUAUUUACAUAAAAUUAUAUAAAGUUCUAUAGGGUCUUCUCGUCCUCUAAUAAUAUUCAAGCCUUUUAACUAGAAAGCUAAAUUAUUAUAAUUAUAAAAGUGAGACAGUUUGUAUUUCGUUCAACCAUUCAUACUAGCCUUUAAUUAAAAGGCAAAUGAUUAUGCUACCUUUGCACAGUCAGAAUACUGCGGCCCUUCAAAAUUCAGUGGGCAGGCCAGACUUAAUAUUAUAAUCAAAAAGAC